rnacentral:lncRNA from 1 species
GCAUAAUGUUACAUACUUUAGAUGAAAUUUAAUGAUCGCUUUGAUGAUGUGAUGGCAAUUGAACGUUGGUCAAGUUUUAGAAAAACAAGUAAUCACCAUUUGAUAUCGGGAGAUUUUUACAUAACUGCUUGAGAAAUUGGAAGUGUUAAGUAUAUAUAUGUUUGAGAACAUUUGUUCGUAAAUAAAGACAUUUGGGAGAGAAUAAUCGAAAAAUUAACGAUAUUCAGUGUGAUCCAUUCUGGAAUCUAGAAACUUAGAAAUAGAAGAUAAUGCAUUGGAUAUUGCCCUGUAUCUUGUUUGUGGCAGUUAAUAGUUUUUCAGUCACUGGAAAUAGAGGUGAGAAAUUGUAUAUAUUAACUUAAUUUUUUUUUUUUUUUUUUUUUUUUAAAUAAUAUUAACUUAUUUUAUUCAAUAUUAUUAAUAAAACAUUAUACAUAUUAGUCUUGAAGUAUUUGUUAAACACAACUUAGUGUCAAAACUUAUCACAAAAUUUCGCGUAAAAAAUGAUGAGACAUGUGAUCAUCAUUCCGAAGAACAACUUAUUGUUUCUUUUUAUAGACAUUUGGAAUUCUCAAAACUCGUCAGGGGAGGAAAUCAUGGUGAACGAUAUUCUGAACGAAUUACAAGAUACAAUUUAAUUUAUAUAGAGUUUAUUUGUACUUGUAACUAGCUGAUUUGACUUCUCUAUUAUAUUUUUAUUUAUCCUAAGGUAACUAUAAUUAAGGAGUCAAAUAGUGAUUGUUUUUACUUUAUAUGUAAAUUUGCUAUUAUCCAAUUAAUUUUUUUUUUAAAGUUGAUUAACAGCUGUAUUUACAAAACGAUACCUAUAAAGAAUUUUACAAGGUGUUUCUUAUUCUAGUUUUUUAUCAAAACAUUAUCCUUGAUAUGGAUAAAAAAUAUUACGAGUAUAUAGUAGCAAAAUAUUUGUUAAAGUAAACUUCAUAAACAAUAUACAUACAAUUACAAUUUCACAAAAAAACGACACACUAACCAGAACCUAUACUUGUAUUUUUUAGAAGUUAGUCAUGGUCGAAAAACACCUGCCGAUUUAAGGGUUGAUGGUAUAAUGUACGAAUUACAAG